CAUUUGUAUUAAACGCUCCGGCGCCAUAGGAUGGACCCGCGUCCCAUUAGCUAGUUGGUGAGAUAACAGCUCACCAAGGCCACGAUGGGUACCCGGUCUGAGAGGGCGAACGGUCACACUGGAACUGAGACACGGUCCAGACUCCUACGGGAGGCAGCAGUGGGGAAUAUUGCGCAAUGGGGGCAACCCUGACGCAGCAAUACCGCGUGAGUGAAGAAGGUUUUCGGAUCGUAAAGCUCUGUUAUUGGGGAAGAAAAAAAGACGGUACCCAAGAAGAAAGUUCCGGCUAACUACGUGCCAGCAGCCGCGGUAAUACGUAGGGAACAAGCGUUGUCCGGAUUUACUGGGCGUAAAGGGCACGCAGGCGGUUUUUUAAGUCAGAUGUGAAAGGCCACAGCUCAACUGUGGACAUGCAUUUGAAACUGGAAGACUUGAGUAUUGGAGAGGCAAGUGGAAUUCCUAGUGUAGCGGUGAAAUGCGUAGAUAUUAGGAGGAACACCGGUGGCGAA
rnacentral:rRNA from 1 species